UUACAACACACACGCUCCCCGUAAACCAAGACCUAUAGGGAGGAUAAAUUACGUCUUUUCUUACCCUUCAUAUACCCGUACUU
rnacentral:ncRNA from 1 species